GCCGUGAGUUCCGCUGUCGAACAGCCCUGAUGGCCAGGAAGUUCUUCCUGAUGUUCAGAGUGAAGCUGCACAUAAAUACUUGAGGGCUACGAGAAACUCCAGAGAAGGGAGAGCAGGCGACACGCGGAGGCCGGGAAGGAGCUGCAAGUCCGUCCACCUCCACAGGGCCGGCUGGGCAGAAGUCGGAAAACGGGCCUGAACUGGUACGCGUUGAUUGUUGUUGUGUCACAAACUCCGUUGCUGUUCUGUAUCCUGUGUCUUGUAAAAAUGGACAAAUACAUUUCAAGCUUGUU